UAAGACGUAGGGCGCGAGCGUUGUCCGGAUUUAUUGGGCGUAAAGAGCUCGUAGGCGGCUUGUCGCGUCGACCGUGAAAACUCGCAGCUCAACUGCGAGCCUGCGGUCGAUACGGGCAGGCUAGAGUUCGGUAGGGGAGACUGGAAUUCCUGGUGUAGCGGUGAAAUGCGCAGAUAUCAGGAGGAACACCGAUGGCGAAGGCAGGUCUCUGGGCCGAUACUGACGCUGAGGAGCGAAAGCGUGGGGAGCGAACAGGAUUAGAUACCCUGGUAGUCCACGCUGUAAACGUUGGGCGCUAGGUGUGGGGAGCCUCUCCGGUUCUCUGUGCCGCAGCUAACGCAUUAAGCGCCCCGCCUGGGGAGUACGGCCGCAAGGCUA
rnacentral:rRNA from 1 species